rnacentral:rRNA from 1 species
CAGCAGCCGCGGUAAUACGGAGGAUCCAAGCGUUAUCCGGAAUUACUGGGCGUAAAGCGUGCGUAGGUGGUGGUUUAAGUCUGCUGUGAAAGCCCUGGGCUCAACCUGGGAAUUGCAGUGGAUACUGGGUCACUAGAGUGCGGUAGAGGGUAGUGGAAUUUCCGGUGUAGCAGUGAAAUGCGUAGAGAUCGGAAGGAACAUCUGUGGCGAAGGCGACUACCUGGGCCAGCACUGACACUGAGGCACGAAAGCGUGGGGAGCAAACAGGAUUAGAUACCCCCGUAGUCCCUGUCUCUUAUAC